UACGUAGGGGGCAAGCGUUGUCCGGAUUUAUUGGGCGUAAAGAGCGUGUAGGCGGCCUGAAAGGUCAGCUGUGAAAACUCGAGGCUCAACCUCGAGACGUCGGUUGAAACCAUCUGGCUAGAGUCCGGAAGAGGAGUGUGGAAUUCCCGGUGUAGCGGUGAAAUGCGCAGAUAUCGGGAAGAACACCCGUGGCGAAAGCGGCACUCUGGGACGGUACUGACGCUGAGACGCGAAAGCGUGGGGGAGCGAACAGG
rnacentral:rRNA from 1 species